CAGCCGUAAACUAUGCUCGCUAGGUGUCAGGCAUGGCGCGACCGUGUCUGGUGCCGCAGGGAAGCCGUGAAGCGAGCCACCUGGGAAGUACGGCCGCAAGGCUGAAACUUAAAGGAAUUGGCGGGGGGAGCACAACAACGGGUGGAGCCUGCGGUUUAAUUGGACUCAACGCCGGACAACUCACCGGGAACGACAUCAAUAUGUAGGCCAGGCUGAAGACCUUGCCUGAAUCGCUGAGAGGAGGUGCAUGGCGUAGACGUCU
rnacentral:rRNA from 1 species